UACAGAGGGGGCAAGCGUUGUUCGGAAUUACUGGGCGUAAAGGGCGCGUAGGCGGCCGCCUAAGUCAGACGUGAAAUCCCUCGGCUCAACCGGGGAACUGCGUCUGAUACUGGAUGGCUUGAGUUUGGGAGAGGGAUGCGGAAUUCCAGGUGUAGCGGUGAAAUGCGUAGAUAUCCGGAGGAACACCAGUGGCGAAGGCGGCUUCCUGGACCGACACUGACGCUGAGGCGCGAAAGCGAGGGGAGCAAACGGG
rnacentral:rRNA from 1 species